rnacentral:misc_RNA from 1 species
AACGCACGAGACCUGCGGACCUGCGGAGGGAUCAUUACUGAGUGAGGGCCCUCUGGGUCCAACCUCCCACCCGUGUUUAUUGUACCUUGUUGCUUCGGCAGGCCCGCCUCACGGCCGCCGGGGGGCUUUCCGCCCCCGGGCCCGCGCCUGCCGGAGACAAUCUUGAACGCUGUCUGAAGAAUGCAGUCUGAGCGAUUAAGCAAAAUUAGUUAAAACUUUUAACAACGGAUCUCUAGAUCG